GAUGAAGAACGUAGUGAAAUGCGAUACGUAAUGUGAAUUGCAGAAUUCAGUGAAUCAUCGAAUCUUUGAACGCACAUUGCGCCUGCCAGCACUCUGGCAGGCAUGCCUGUUCGAGCGUCAUUUCAACCAUCAAGCCCUAGGCUUGCGUUGGAGCCCUGCGGCUGCCGCAGGCCCCUAAAAGCAGUGGCGGGCUCGCUAUCACACCGAGUGCAGUAGAUUACUCUUCGCUCAGGGCGUGUGGCGGGUUCCAGCCGUGAAACCCCCUACUUCUCAAGGUUGACCUCGGAUCAGGUAGGAAUACCCGCUGAUCUUAAGCAUAUCAAUAAGCGGAGGA
rnacentral:misc_RNA from 1 species